UUCAUUUUUACUAUCAUUUAUAGCUAUUUUUAUAUUUUAUAGCAAAGUGCAAAUAUAUAUUGAUCCCUUAACUUUUCACUCAACUAUUUCUCUCUUCCCCCUCAACUCUCCGUAUUUUUUCCUUUCUCUUCGCCCUCGACAAAGCUGCCGUCCAGUCGGUCAUCUUUUCUGGCAGAGUUCUAUUGGAGCCCAAUGAAACAACUGCCUCUCUAUUUCCCUUCCCUUUUCUCAUUUUCAUCGUUAGAUCCAGAUCUGAAACCACGAAUUCAUGAUAGGUCCAUUACCGGCAGCGAAAGCAGUGGAGGAGGAAGAUCGGUGCCGUCACUAGAUCUGGAUCCAGGAAACAUGCCGGAAUCCAUGACUUUUUCUCCUUCUUUCUAUCUCAUAUCUGAAUAUAUUUGUCUGGCCAAAUUUUGGUAGAUACAAUGUGAAACUGUAUUCUCAUAUAUGGUUGGAGUUUUAUUUGUCUCCUUUUUAUUUUUAAUAUACUGUAUACAAUAUUUUUCUUGGCCGGAAGACGCCAUCUCCGAUGAAAUUUUUUCGUUCUUAGCUCUUGAGUCACAUGCAAUGAUACAAAUGCAUUAUAUUACAUACAAAUAUAUUGUAUUAUGUAUAAAUACCCUCAAAUUUGAUUGUAUUCUGUAAAUCUCAAUGCAAAUAUAGUUUUUUUUGUUGUACUUUUUUCUAUAUUUAUGUAUUUCAAAGAUUAUUUUUGUCACGAUCUAAUUUUAUUAUAGGUUGUGAUGGCACCCAACGCCGCUGCUAGGCAAGCCAAAAGUGAAUUAACUACGUGAUUUUCCUUUUUAAUAGAUUUUCAAGU
rnacentral:lncRNA from 1 species